rnacentral:lncRNA from 1 species
GAGUUCUCUCUAAAUUCAUUCCUACCACACCAUAUGAGUUAUGAUAUGGUAAGAAAUCAACUCUUGGGUACCUCAAGUUAGAGGCUAGAUCUUUUAGGGCUCGUUUUAUAGGGUAUCCUAAGAAAAUCAUUGGAUACUACUUCUAUAUUCUUGAGGAUCACAAUGUGAUUGUGAGCCAUUAUACCGUAUUCUUAAAAAAGAGUUUAUCCAAGAUGGACGCA